AACGAACGCUGGCGGCAUGCCUAACACAUGCAAGUCGAACGAGACCUUCGGGUCUAGUGGCGCACGGGUGCGUAACGCGUGGGAAUCUGCCCUUCGGUUCGGAAUAACUCAGGGAAACUUGAGCUAAUACCGGAUAAUGACUUCGGUCCAAAGAUUUAUCGCCGAGGGAUGAGCCCGCGUAGGAUUAGCUAGUUGGUGAGGUAAAGGCUCACCAAGGCGACGAUCCUUAGCNGGUCUGAGAGGAUGAU
rnacentral:rRNA from 1 species